UACGAAGGGGGCUAGCGUUGCUCGGAAUCACUGGGCGUAAAGCGCACGUAGGCGGUCUCUUAAGUCGGUGGUGAAAUCCUGGAGCUCAACUCCAGAACUGCCUUCGAUACUGAGAGUCUCGAGUCCGGGAGAGGUGAGUGGAACUGCGAGUGUAGAGGUGAAAUUCGUAGAUAUUCGCAAGAACACCAGUGGCGAAGGCGGCUCACUGGUCCGGUACUGACGCUGAGGUGCGAAAGCGUGGGGAGCAAACAGG
rnacentral:rRNA from 1 species